rnacentral:rRNA from 1 species
GGCUUAGGAUGAACGCUGGCGGCGUGCCUAACACAUGCAAGUCGAACGGAGCACUGGUAACAGAACCUUCGGGUGAAGAUAUUGUGACUGAGUGGCGGACGGGUGAGUAACGCGUGGGUAACCUGCCCUGUACAGGGGGAUAACAGUUAGAAAUGACUGCUAAUACCGCAUAAGCGCACGAUGGUAGCACUACCAGGUGUGAAAAACUCCGGUGGUACAGGAUGGGCCCGCGUCUGAUUAGCUAGUUGCGGGGUAAGAGCCCACCAAGGCGACGAUCAGUAGCCGGUCUGAGAGGAUGAACGGCCACAUUGGAACUGAGACACGGUCCAAACUCCUACGGGAGGCAGCAGUGGGGAAUAUUGCACAAUGGGGGGAACCCUGAUGCAAGCAACGCCGCGUGGGUGAAGAAGUAUUUCGGUAUGUAAAGCCCUAUCAGCAGGGAAGAUAGUGACGGUACCUGACUAAGAAGCUCCGGCUAAAUACGUGCCAGCCGCUGC